rnacentral:lncRNA from 10 species
CUUGCCUUUCCUCCUCUGCCUUCUCCCAUGAUUGUGAGGCUUCCCCAACCAUGUGAAACUAUAGACCUGUUUCCACUUCAAAAGGAUGACCUGCGAUUCAACAGCGGCCCAGCCCACAUGUGGUCCUUGAGCUGAGCAUCCUGGAACCAGAAGGAGAUACUGUGUCCCCAGACAGAAAGGUACCCAAGAUCCUGCAGAAGAGAGCACGUGAGGGUCAAGGCUGGGACAGCAAUAACCUUUCCUCAUCACCUGCCUGCACCCUUCCAUGUUAACAUACUGUGAACCGAGCAGAAGUGACAAAACCAAUCCAUCACCCCAGAGCCAACACAAAGAGGAAUAGAGAGGUUAACAGAAAUUGAUGACAUCCCCGCUGGAAUUUUACACUGAUUCGGCCAGCCCUGCGAUUGAAAUAGACAAAGAUUUAUAGUCCGAGCGAGGACGCUGGCUGCUCUUGAUUGCCUUGAUUUUUUUUAUGCGCUCCUGCAUAUUUAUUCCCAAGCUCAUCACCGGCUUGUAGCAUUAGAAUGCUGAUUUGAUUGUACAUUCCAAGAGGAGCAGGCAUUAUGCAGCCAUUUGCAUGAUGUGAGAGAAAUCACCAGAACUUUUCUGAUAUCAGCGCCAAAAUGAUCACUAAUGUUCACCUGCAAAAGCAGGAUUGUGUAAUAUUUUUUUUUGAAAUUCAGAUUUCCUUCUGCUUUUUCUCAGCGUAAAAAUAAAAAAGGGGAAUUAUUCUAUAUCCUGUGGAUGAGAAAUUGUGUUUUGUCAUGCCUCCGAGGGCUACAGCGGCAUCGAGCUUUUAUGAAUUCGUUUGAUAUCAGGGCUGUGCGUUUCGAGUUCCAACA